rnacentral:rRNA from 1 species
UACGGAGGGGGCUAGCGUUGUUCGGAAUUACUGGGCGUAAAGCGCACGUAGGCGGCUUUGUAAGUUAGAGGUGAAAGCCCGGGGCUCAACUCCGGAAUUGCCUUUAAGACUGCAUCGCUAGAAUUGUGGAGAGGUAAGUGGAAUUCCGAGUGUAGAGGUGAAAUUCGUAGAUAUUCGGAAGAACACCAGUGGCGAAGGCGACUUACUGGACACAUAUUGACGCUGAGGUGGCGAAAAGCGGUGGGGAGCAAACA